GUCGUGACUGCGUGCCUUUUGAAGAAUGAGCCUGCGAGUUUGCGGUGUGUUGCGAGGUUAACCCGAGUGGGGAAGCCGUAGCGAAAGCGAGUCCGAACAGGGCGAUUCAGUAGCGCGCUCAAGACCCGAAGCGGAGUGAUCUAGCCAUGGGCAGGUUGAAGCGGCUGUAAGAGGUCGUGGAGGACCGAACCCACCAGGGUUGAAAACCUGGGGGAUGACCUGUGGUUAGGGGUGAAAGGCCAAUCAAACUCCGUGAUAGCUGGUUCUCCCCGAAAUGCAUUUAGGUGCAGCGUCGUGUGUUUCUUGCCGGAGGUAGAGCACUGGAUAGGCGAUGGGCCCUACCGGGUUACUGACCUUAGCCAAACUCCGAAUGCCGGUAAGUGAGAGCACGGCAGUGAGACUGUGGGGGAUAAGCUCCAUGGUCGAGAGGGAAACAGCCCAGAGCAUCGACUAAGGCCCCUAAGCGUACGCUAAGUGGGAAAGGAUGUGGAGUCGCAGAGACAACCAGGAGGUUGGCUUAGAAGCAGCCACCCUUGAAAGAGUGCGUAAUAGCUCACUGGUCUAGUGAUUCCGCGCCGACAAUGUAGCGGGGCUCAAGCGUACCGCCGAAGUCGUGUCAUUUCAGCAUGAGGGCCAACGCCCGCUGGGAUGGGUAGGGGAGCGUCGUGUGCCGGGUGAAGCAGCCGCGGAAGCGAGUUGUGGACGGUUCACGAGUGAGAAUGCAGGCAUGAGUAGCGAUACACACGUGAGAAACGUGUGCGCCGAUUGACUAAGGGUUCCUGGGUCAAGCUGAUCUGCCCAGGGUAAGUCGGGACCUAAGGCGAGGCCGACAGGCGUAGUCGAUGGAUAACCGGUUGAUAUUCCGGUACCCGCUGUGAAGCGUCAAACAUUGAAUCAGGCGAUGCUAAGCCCGUGAAGCCGUUCCGGACCCUUCGGGGAAUGGAAAGUGGUGGAGCCGGCGGACCAGACUUGUAGUAGGUGAGUGAUGGGGUGACGCAGGAAGGUAGUCCAUCCCGGGCGGUGGUAGUCCCGGGGUAAGGGUGUAGCCCGUCAUCCAGGUAAAUCCGGAUGACAUGAGGGUGAGACCUGAUGCCGAGCCGAUUGUGGUGAAGUGGAUGAUCCUAUGCUGUCGAGAAAAGCCUCUAGCGAGUUUCAUGGCGGCCCGUACCCUAAACCGACUCAGGUGGUCAGGUAGAGAAUACCGAGGCGUUCGGGUGAACUAUGGUUAAGGAACUCGGCAAAAUGCCCCCGUAACUUCGGGAGAAGGGGGGCCAUGUCCGGUGAUGAGCUUCGCGCUCUGAGCUGGGGGUGGCCGCAGAGACCAGCGAGAAGCGACUGUUUACUAAAAACACAGGUCCGUGCGAAGCCGUAAGGCGAUGUAUACGGACUGACGCCUGCCCGGUGCUGGAACGUUAAGGGGACCGGUUAGUCCGACUUCGGUCGGGCGAAGCUGAGAACUUAAGCGCCAGUAAACGGCGGUGGUAACUAUAACCAUCCUAAGGUAGCGAAAUUCCUUGUCGGGUAAGUUCCGACCUGCACGAAUGGCGUAACGACUUCUCGACUGUCUCAACCAUAGGCCCGGUGAAAUUGCACUACGAGUAAAGAUGCUCGUUUCGCGCAGCAGGACGGAAAGACCCCGGGACCUUUACUACAGUUUGAUAUUGGUGUUCGGUUCGGCUUGUGUAGGAUAGCUGGGAGACUGUGAACUCUGGACGCCAGUUCAGGGGGAGUCGUCGUUGAAAUACCAGUCUGGUCGUGCUGGAUGUCUAACCUGGGUCCGUGAUCCGGAUCAGGGACAGUGUCUGAUGGGUAGUUUAACUGGGGCGGUUGCCUCCUAAAGAGUAACGGAGGCGCCCAAAGGUUCCCUCAGCCUGGUUGGUAAUCAGGUGUUGAGUGUAAGUGCACAAGGGAGCUUGACUGUGAGACCGACGGGUCGAGCAGGGACGAAAGUCGGGACUAGUGAUCCGGCGGUGGCUUGUGGAAGCGCCGUCGCUCAACGGAUAAAAGGUACCCCGGGGAUAACAGGCUGAUCUUCCCCAAGAGUCCAUAUCGACGGGAUGGUUUGGCACCUCGAUGUCGGCUCGUCGCAUCCUGGGGCUGGAGUCGGUCCCAAGGGUUGGGCUGUUCGCCCAUUAAAGCGGUACGCGAGCUGGGUUUAGAACGUCGUGAGACAGUUCGGUCCCUAUCCGCUGCGCGCGCAGGAACAUUGAGAAGGGCUGUCCCUAGUACGAGAGGACCGGGACGGACGAACCUCUGGUGUGCCAGUUGUUCUGCCAAGGGCAUGGCUGGUUGGCUACGUUCGGGAGGGAUAACCGCUGAAAGCAUCUAAGCGGGAAGCCUGCUUCGAGAUGAGUGUUCCCACCCCCUUUGAGGGGUUAAGGCUCCCAGUAGACGACUGGGUUGAUAGGCCGGAUCUGGAAGCCCAGUAAUGGGUGGAGGUGACCGGUACUAAUAGGCCGAGGGCUUGUCCUC
rnacentral:rRNA from 1 species